GGUGGAGUGUUUCUAAGUGAUUACAAGCUUCCGGAUAUUGACCGACAGCCCCUGCGGGUGGGUGGGCCUAUGGCUUCUAGGAGCCUUCUGGGGCUACACCCUGCCUCAGUCGGCGUGGUGACUAUGGAGAGCUUCCCAAACAUGCCCGUUUCUCACCCAUUCUCAGUGCUGCACGCUGGUACACGGACACUCUGGUCACCUCCUGAAGGUACCUGAUGUGGAGUCCCCCAUCAGGAAUUGUGGGAAGCAAUGACCACAAGAAGAAAGCACAUUAUGCUCACUGCUAAAGUUUGAUCUGGACCUGGCAUAGGCUUAACAUUGGCGUCCUGUAUGAAUACGUCCAAGUGUUUAAUACCGGCUGAUCAGGAGAGGUCAAGGAAGUGGAUGACCGCAGCAUAAUGGUCUGCCAGCCGCCUAGCUGUCCUGAAGCAGAAUGAUACUUAAGCUCUAAUGUUUCAAUUGUUUUUUGCCUUUUAAGAAAUUAUUGAUUAAGAGCAGAAAAUUUGUAGUCAUUUUAUGUUCAGCUAACAUGGAAUGGCUCCAGGUGCAGGACCACGACUUCUGCUUUUGGCUCUGGACGACAAUGGGUAUCGACUAAAAUGAUGGAUGACCGUUGAUUUCAAAGUUGACUGUGAAGUGAUUUGUAUAUUGCAAG